rfam:Tropicibacter naphthalenivorans strain CECT 7648 genome assembly, contig: 0003
GGCCACCUUCGGGGGGCUUAUCACAUAGGAUCCACACGGAUCCCCAAGCUUACGGAAGACAGAAA